rnacentral:rRNA from 1 species
UAGGGAAUCUUCCACAAUGGGCGAAAGCCUGAUGGAGCAACGCCGCGUGUGUGAUGAAGGGUUUCGGCUCGUAAAACACUGUUGUAAGAGAAGAAUGACAUUGAGAGUAACUGUUCAUACGUUGACGGUAUUUAACCAGAAAGUCACGGCUAACUACGUGCCAG